UGGGGAAUUUUGGACAAUGGGCGCAAGCCUGAUCCAGCAAUGCCGCGUGCAGGAUGAAGGCCUUCGGGUUGUAAACUGCUUUUGUACGGAACGAAACGGUCUUUUCUAAUACAGAAGGCUUAUGACGGUACCGUAAGAAUAAGCACCGGCUAACUCCGUGCCAGCAGCCGCGGUAAUACGUAGGGUGCGAGCGUUAAUCGGAAUUACUGGGCGUAAAGCGUGCGCAGGCGGUUUUGUAAGACAGAGGUGAAAUCCCCGGGCUCAACCUGGGAAUUGCCUUUGUGACUGCAAGGCUUGAGUGCGGCAGAGGGGGAUGGAAUUCCGCGUGUAGCAGUGAAAUGCGUAGAUAUGCGGAGGAACACCGAUGGCGAAGGCAAUCCCCUGGGCCUGCACUGACGCUCAUGCACGAAAGCGUGGGGAGCAAACA
rnacentral:rRNA from 1 species